CUUUUUGAACAAGAUGGACAAAAACAGGGCAAGUUUUACAUAUGCUGUUGAGAGUAUCAAACAAAAGUUGAAGACAAAACCUUUGCUUUUACAGUUGCCCAUUGGGGAAGCCAAGACCUUCAGAGGACUGGUUGAUGUUGUGACUAAGGAACAAAUAAUUUGGAAACCUACUUCUGAUUUGGAUGAUGGAAAAAUUUUUGAGCAAA